ensembl:lncRNA
ACAGCCAGCAAGCGAUAUCGGAUUCCAGUGUAGGUUAAACAUGUGCAUUUCUUCUAAACAUAUUUCACAAGAAAAGGAGGAAAAAACCAUGAGAAAGGGGGGAACCGAGCGAACAACGAAGGGUGCAAAUCUCUGCUGGUCCACAUGCGGUGCCCGUGGGCCUCUCUGCCCGCAGAUGGUACUUUCCAUCCCAAGUCGACUGGAACCGCCUUGAACCAGCUCAUUGUUGAAAAGGGCUGAGUCCCUCGCAGCAGGUCGUCAUAAUGCUGUGGCCGUGUACCAUGAUCUCCUGGCUCUGCUCACUGCCCUGGGCAUCGGUUCCUGUAAGUCUCUCCAGCUUCUCCAAAAGCAGCCGCUGGUCAUUUCCUUCAGAACAAUAUUCUUCUAUGUUCAUUUACAGUAACUUGGGCCUCCACUCAGUGUCCAGUUCCUCGCCAUUACAACCAAUUUGGCGCGUGGGGGCCACUUUCCCUUUUCUAUGCUCGUUUGGUAGGGACGCGGCUGGAGGAAAGGACCCUGACCCGCUUUAUCCUUCCCCAGAGGCUCCUUCCUGUGGCACUCGGAGCCCUCCCAGUCCCCCCCCCACUCCCACUCCCACUCCCCUGGCCAGUCUGGGAAUACCUACCUCACAGCAGCUCCCCCGAAGCUGCCCGGACAGCCGGCUACCUCACACUGUCCUGUUUCAGCUCCGAGACACCAAGCUCAGUUCCCAUUUGGAUGUAAGCUCUUGGAGGCCGGGGACCAUUUGCCUUUGUGUCCCCAGGCCAAGGGUGGAGGGUGCCUGGGUUACCGGAAGCACUUAAGGGGCGGCUGGGCUGGGCAGCGGAGAGAAUGCCAGGCUGCAGUUUAAAUCCGACCUCGCUUCCCAGCUGUGUGAUGCUGGACAGUCACUUCACCCCGUCUGCCUCUGUUUCCUCAUCUGUAAAAUGAGCCGCAGAAGGAAAUGGCCAAACCCUUCCAGUGUCUCUGCCAAGAAAACCCCAAAUGGGGCCAUGUGAACAUGACUGAAAAGGUCACUUAAUAAAUGCUCAUUAAGUGAGUGUCCCGUGCUGCCCAUGGGACCUCGAGGGAGCCCUAACUCUGCAAACCCCCAUUUCCAAUAGUCCCUUCUAGCUCUUACUAAAUGCUCAUUGACUGCCCCAAUCCUACAAAUAGCCUGCCAAAGCAUGAUGUCCGAUUCCUUCCCCCUCACCUUUCCCUUCUGUGGUGUGGAGAAAACGUCUGAUUUCCCCCACAGUGAAGGGAGGCCCCAGAAGAGCCUUCGGUACCUGGGAGGUGGGGACACUGUCAGCAGAAUGGGGAGGGAUGGCUGCGGCUCACUGAGUGUCCACGAGCACACGACCUAAAGGGGGUUUGCCAUUUAGAGCGGCUUGAAGUCAGCCCCCUCCUGGGGACUGGCUCCCUGCCUUUCCCAUUCUUAGUCGAAGGGACUUGAAGACCUGCAUCUUCCAUGGUCCCUCUGUCCUCUUCUGUCAAGUGGAAAGAACACAGACCCGGGGCCCGGCCUGGAGUGUCCUCCAUUCUCCCUCCUCCCGCGGGGAGUCUCUUCCCAGACCCCCCCGGGAAACGUCUGUGUGAAUGUUUCACACAAGUUAAAGUUCUGCUCUGUAUUCUCCCCAGGAGGACGGAAGCUCCCAGUGGGCGGGAAGCCCGGAGUGCCCGGCACACGGAAUGGGUCAUGGGGAAGGGCAAACGGCGGCCACAGGGUGGGAGAGGGGAGGGGAGGCAGGACCGCCGCCAAAAGGCCAAAAAGUGAUGAAAGGAUUGAGCACGUUCCCUGGAAUUCUUCCCCUCGUUUCCUUAUACCAGCCCUGGUCAGAAGCCACGAGUAAGGAAGACUCUUGGGAGCCUGAGCUCACGGGUCUGGGAGUGGGUAAUGUCCAUCCUCCUGGACCCUAUGACCCCUCCUGUCUUGUCUCCCACGAGGAUUGGCUCAGUCUCCGACUCCUCAGACCAGAGCUCCCCACGGGGGGUCAGCCUCCCCAGCAGAGGGUGAGCCCCCCUGAGACAUCUGCUCUCCCAGAGCUGAGGACACAAGGUGGCCCAUAGCUCCCUGCCUCCCCGUUCCUUUCCGCCCUCCUUCCUUUCCUCCCCCCAUCUCCCUUUUUCCUCCUCCUUUUCUUUCUUCUCUCCCUCUCUUCCUUCCUCCUUAACUCUUUCCAAUCGGGGGCCCUGCUGUCCACCCCAGCAGAGUUGUGACGGGUUCUCCCGAGGUUCCUGCUUGCUGGCUGCCUAAUCAUUUUAAGUGACCCCUGCGGGGGCCCCCAGCUUUUUGGGAGAUGCAAAUCCAGGCUAACUUAGCAGAAGAUGCGCGGGGAAGCAGAAUAUAACUGGUAUCGCCGUAGGCUGGUCUCCUUGGCCCUUGGGUCCUUCUCUGGUCUUGGAUCAGGGCUGGACUACACUGGAAGGCUCUGACCCGAGGCCCAGCUGCCGAGGCUCCCCCAGCCUUCACAGGGUUUCCCGGCACCCAAUUCUCUGGCAGUGGAUCAGGGCUGGUCAGCACCGAGUGCACUCCUACAGCCCGCGCUAGGGUCUUUCUCCAUCUUGAUGCUACAGGAAGUAGCACCCUUGGAAGGGAGAGACCCGCCCCCGGUCACGUUCAAAGGCUUCUCUCCCCAGUGAAUCCGGAGGGGCUCCUCCCAUCCCUGACGCACCAAGGAUCUCUGCCCUGGAGAUCCCCUAGUGCCGAAGGCCAGAAUGGCAAGCGGAGGCUCUCCCCCAUCGGCCAAGCUCCCGGGACCCCUGCUGUGAGUCCGACACCCCAAUGUCGGCUAAGGGGGAGUGCUCUGGCAGAAGGCGCGCCCCGUGGGCCUGGGACCCCUUGCUGGGAGUCCGACACUCUAAGGGGGGGAGUGCUCUGGCAGAAGGCGCGCCCCCGUGGGCGGGGCUCCUGGGACCCUCCUGCUGCCCGGGGGGGAUGGCGCUCUCCCGGUGUCCACAGCGCCCCCCGCUGAAGAGGAGGAGGCGCCUUCCCACGAGGCCCCAUAGGCAGCCUCGGGACUCCGGGGGGGCCGUCUUCCGGCCGCCCGCUUCCAUUAUCCCGGCGCUCCGGCACACCGGGCAGGCUCGCUCCUCCCUGCACGCACUCUGGGCGCCUGGCACAGCUCCGGCCCUGCAGCACUGGCGGAGCCCCUGGCCCUCGCCUCAGGGUGGGCCCUUGGCAGUGGCGGCCUUAGCCCCCGACCGGAAGGGAACGGCCCCAGGCUGGAGAGAAGUGGGCGGGGCCCGGAGAUCCGCAACCCCUCCUCUGAAGGUGCGCUUGGAGACCCCUCCUAGGGGCAGCGCCAGAGCAACGCAGCUGCUUUCCGUCUUCCGAGUGGCCAAUAAGCUCGUCUCUCUUACGUCCCGGGGCUGAUAAGUCGGGGUUGCCAUAGAGACGCGAUGCGCGCAGGGCGAGGGGGCACUGUGGUUUUUGAUUGGUGGAACGCUUUCUCUGCCUUUUCCGCACGUGCGCAGUAGCGCCGAUCGGCGCCCAAACCCUAGGCGAGCUCGAGAAUGACGGAGGUGAAAGUUCGUGGGGGCGGGGGAGUUCGGCCCGAGAGUGGUUCGGGAACGAAACGCUUCCGGCGUGUCCGCUGCCGCGCGUGCCUCGCCGCCCAGGGCUGGUUCGGACACAUGUAUGUCCACAUGAGAACGUGGAGGCUGCGGGAGCCGUGUAGGGGCCGCCCUGGGUGCGCGCCGGCCUCGGGCCGACCUCGGCUCCCGGGCCGCGGCCGCUGAGAAGGCCACGCGAGGGCGGGGGAGUGUGCGCUUUCCCGUAGCUAUGGCGACGGCUGCGCCUUUGGCGCAUGCGCGGAGCAUCCCGCCGCACCGCGUGGGGGCGGAGUCGGGCGCUCUGAGCGUGUUUGCGGCUGCGUGACACCGCGAGGCUUUCGGUCCUAGGUGCGUGCGGUGCUGGUGAGCCCCUUCUCCGCGGCCCGCACUUCUGCCCUUCCUUCUGGAGCCCGGGAGCUGCCCCUCCAUGGCGCGGACCACCCUCCCGGGGGGCUCACGAGGCGGAGUUUGGGAGAAGGGCCUCGGGGCGGGGCCAGCAGACAGGGCCGCCUCUGCCUGCAGCAUCCCAGGGCCCCCCGGGGGCCGCUCCCAGGAGCCGCCUGCAGCAUGUCUUCCACGCUGUGCCCCGCCGGCCUGGUGCCCUUUGAAGAGCUCUUCUCCAAGCCCCCGAAUCCCAUGCUGGGCCCCAGCUUGACUCAGGAUCGGCGCCCCUUGGACCCGGCCUCCACGCCCCCCGGGACCCCACCCCCCCGAAACACGACUCCUUGGAGGACCCGGCCCGCAAGCCCGCCAGCCCCGAUGGCCCCAGGGCCGCCGACCGCCUGCCUUCCGGGGGCUCCCCCCGCUGGGACUUUGGGGACCUGUUUUGCAAGCCACCCAACCCCAUGCUUUCCAGCAUGGCCCCCAAAGCCCCCGCUUCGCCCUCCCCCGGGUCCGCUUCCAGCCAAGACAGUGGCCAGGCCCCUGGGCCAGAUCCCGAGGCGGCGAGCCCGGGGCCGGCCCCCCGCAGUCCAGAACGGGGUGAAGCCCGGCCCUGGAACCGGAGCGACCGAGGGGGGGGCCCGCAGCCGGAGGGCAAGAAGAGGAAGGGGGCUGGGGCCGCCGCCGCCAAGGGGAUGCAGCCCCAGGAGGAGGACUUCGCCCAGCUCCUAGAGCAGUACAGACGCGAGAGGGAGACCCCCGCGUCAGAGCCAGGACCCCCGCCCUCCGAGGGCAAGGUGAAGAAAGCGGCCAAGAGGGC